UUGACCUCGGAUCAGGUAGGAAUACCCGCUGAACUUAAGCAUAUCAUAGAGGCGA
rnacentral:rRNA from 1 species